AUACACCGAGUAAAUCAGUGGGCCUUAGCUUCAUAGAUUCACUUCAAGUCGUACCUCGCUAUUUGUUACCUAAGUUAGUGUCAAUUUUAUCUCAGUAAGACCGCCGUUUUUGGCAACAACUUUAUUUUUUUAAGCAAUUAGCUUUGGAGUUUUAUUAUGUCUAAGAUCACUGGUACCGUUAAGUGGUUCAACGAAUCUAAAGGUUUUGGUUUCAUCGAGCAAGAGCAAGGCGAAGAUGUGUUUGUACACUUCCGUGCUAUUCAAGGUGACGGUUUCAAAACUUUAGCAGAAGGCCAACGUGUUGAGUUCGAUAUCGAGCAAGGCCCUAAAGGCGCUCAAGCUGCUAACGUAACUAAAGUAUAAUUUUAUAAAAUUGUAUAUUUAGAUCUAAAAAACCGCGUCAAAUGGCGCGGUUUUUUUA
rnacentral:sRNA from 1 species